UGGAGGCUGCCUAAAGCCGCUCAAGACACCCUCGUGGCUGGUGGGGCUGCCACGUGUCCUGCUGAGAUGCAGUGGGGAGAAGAGGGUCUUCUCAAGGCUCUGCAGUGGCCAGCUGUCUGCUUCCCUCUCUUCCAGACCUGAAACAUUUCCUGCUCCUUGGAUACCCAGUGCGUUGAGACCCAGCAGCAUCACCUCUGGCCAUCAUCCAGACCUGAGGGGUGGAAAUGGGGAAGGAAAAACCUUAAUCCCUCCUCUCCUGGACACAAUGGGAAAGAGAAGCUAUAUUUACUUUCCACUGCCUUGUAGCUGAAAGGAGGAGAAGAAAAGAGAAUGUGGAAAGCGAGAAAGGAGAGCCUUGUGACACGGAGAUCCCCCUCAAUGACCACACUGCUGUCUGCUGAAACCUGAAACGGGCACACCAGACAGAGAAGGUCACUCCAGCCAUUGAUCACGAAAGAAGAUG